UACGUAGGGAGCAAGCGUUGUCCGGAAUCAUUGGGCGUAAAGCGCGCGUAGGUGGCCACAUAAGUCCGUUGUGAAAGUCAAAGGCUCAACCUUUGAAAGCCGAUGGAUACUGUGUGGCUAGAGUACGGAAGAGGCGAGUGGAAUUCCUGGUGUAGCGGUGGAAUGCGUAGAUAUCGGGAGGAACACCUGUGGCGAAAGCGGCGCACUGGACCACAACUGACGCUGAGGCGCGAAAGCUAGGGGAGCAAACAGG
rnacentral:rRNA from 1 species